GAUUUAUUCUUUUUUGUUAGGUAAAAAAAUUAGAGAAAUGUAAAUAAGCAGCUCUGUGUUUUUGUCUCUGAUUUUAAAUCACAACAUAACGUUAAGAAUUUGAAUGAGAAGACAAUUUGACUAUCAUGCUUUUUAGCAGUAAACAGGCAAAAAGGCAAAAUGAACACAAAAUUGCAGAAGACUUUUCCCAGUGAAAGGAAAACUAUUAUUAUGUCAGUAAUUGUGAUCACAAAAGUUUAUCCAGCGUUUGUGGGAAAAAGAGUUUAGCUGAUUGUACCUACAAUAUACUGGUGAUAGUUGUCCUACUUAUUCAAAAGAAAUAACUCAUGUUUUUUAACUCUACAGUCAUUGACAAGCCACAGUCUCUACCUUCAAAAAGUCCACAUAUUUAUUAUUCCUGGGUGGUUCAAGGAGAGAAUCACAGUUUGCUAUUCCAUAUAUGUGUGUGUAUAUAGCGAAGAUAUGAAAAGGCAUUUCUGGACUUUAGAACUUUAGGGCAGAAUGAAAAAUAACACACAAAUUAUAAGUAUGUAGUCUGAGGAAUAACAGUUUUAUAUGGCCAAAAGAAGAGCAUUUAGCAAAUAGUGUUAAGAAAAAGCUAGGAACAGUAGAACAAGGAAUAGUAGAACAGCCUGUGGCAGAAUUGAGGCCUUGCAAAUGAUCACCAUGAAGAUCCCAAUACUAGAAUUUGGUGUUUGGACUCCUUUCCAGACACAGCUCUGCCCGCCAUCAUGGCUGGUCCCAUCAGGCUGUGUCCAUGGGACCCCUUACUCCCUGGGGAGCUGGACGUCUGGCCUCCUGCUAUAGCCUCUGUUACAAUGCUGGGCAAAGACCAGGUGCUUACAAAUAGCCGCAGUUUCAAUUAUUUUAGGAAGGAAGAAGAAAGUGAAUGGCAUUUGGGGGUGCUUUUAUGUAAGCCUCACCCCACCACACUGGGGCCUUCCAUUCUUCCAAGGACAUCCAUCCAUGCCAUUGCUGGGUUCUUUCACCUCCCUGCUCAAGAAAGAUUAUCCCGUUUUGCAGAUCCUCUUCACCACUGCUCACUAAGGGACAGUUCUGCAGCAGGCAUCCCAUGUAGGAAGCUCAAGGAGGCCGUUGUCACUGGAGAGAGAACCAGAAGGGACCUUAGAAGUCAGCUUACUCAACCCUCCUGCCUCCAGCCCCACUGUACAGAUGAUGAAACUCAAGCCCAAAAGGGCAGGGUUGCCCCAGGUUCCACUGUGUAUAACAAGGAUUCUGAAUACAGCUGAGGACUAUCCUGAUCAAAUAUGCAUACUUCAAAGAUUGCUUCAAUGGACUGAAUGGAAGGAAGAGGUUGCUGAUACCAUGGAAAUCAGUUAAAAGGCUCAUGAAAGAAUGCAAACAAAAAGUUUUUUCAACUGAAUUUGUCCUGCUCUACACCUCUUCCUCCACCCCUCCAAAAUAAAACAAGAUAAUACUGCCAAAUCUUGGAUAAGUAUUAUUCUUUCUAUUAUAAUCCAGAGAAGAUCAAACGCAGUUAAGCUAAAGAGAUUUUUAAAAGUUUAUCCAUGUAAUUUAUGGCAAGACGAAUAGCACAGUAACCUUGGCUGAAUCAGUACGUAGAGCAUCAAGCUGAAUUUCGAAAGGUUAACAAAUGGAAGCAGAAACCACCCUGUAAUCGAAGCUACUAAGUUCAAAAUUGGCCCGAGGAAUUUCACCUGCUGUUGUGGACUUAUUUAACAGGUAAGAUUGGGAGUCAGUGCUAUCACUCUCCUAAUAUUAGGUGAGAGAGUUAAUAGAGUAGAGGCAAA
ensembl:lincRNA